rnacentral:tRNA from 1 species
GCCGAGGUAGAUCAGCCCGGGAGAUCGCGUGACUGAAGAUCACGUCGCCGUGUGUUCAAACUGGGUAGGAAUCGCCUCCCAGGAACAAAUCACACCCUCGGCACCA